UGUAGGCCUGACGUUACACUCAAUCAUCGGCCCCUCUGCUGUAGGAUGGUCAGCUAUUACCAGUAUUUCGAUGCCUGGAUUGGUAAAACGUAACAUGUGCACGUGUAUAAUCAUUCAGCAUAAACACACAACAUUUGGUAACUGGAAAUACGUCCUUUUUAUCGUUGAAUUUUAAAAAGAUCAUCUUAACCCCUUGGCUUAUUAACGUUUCGCGGAUUUUAGUUUCUGUAAUAUUGUGACGUCAUAUAAGUACGUAGUGCAUCACCCAACAGUUAGGCCUGUUUGAAGACUGAUCAUUCACACAGCAAAAUAAUAUGUUGGCGAUUAAAAAAGUAUGGAGUUUUUAUUAUGCAGUGGAAAAACACCAGUUGUGAUCUUCUUGAAGCAAAGCUUCGUCCAGUGUAUCUUUAUCCUAUAGUAUGCGUUUUCAAGACGGGAAGUUCCAGCUGCAGAUUUAAGACACAUUGAAGUGUUGAGUGACACUCAGAUGGAAUCUACAGCAACAUUAGACUACAGUCUGUGAUGAUAUCCGAUUCUAUGAGACCUGAGUCUGUUUGUUAAAAUGGUGGCCAACGACCAUAUCAUAAGGCGAAGUACUGAGAACUGCACAGACUAAAUGGAUUACUUUAGGAAUCAAGAAGACAACAUUUUGACAAUGCAUAAAAGAUUCUACGCAAAUAAUUUUUAUCAAACUGUCCUUGAAAAUACAUCGUUUUUAUUUAAUUUUACUUUUCUGCAAAUUCUUCUCCAUAAUUAAAAUAAACGUUAAAAUUGA